rnacentral:lncRNA from 10 species
GUCAUCGCUCACGAGGUGGUGCAGCUGGCGGGAGGAAAGCAGGUGGUGCGGCCACCCCGCCUCCUGCGGGAGUCCCCACCUCACCCACAGAGGAAGUCGACAAAGGCCAGAAACACAUCAGGAUGGAGAGUGCAUGACACAGGGAUGAAGAGACCAGAAUCCUGACAGGCUGUGGGCAGACCAGACCAAACAGACCAGACCAGACCAGACCAGACCAGACCAAACAGACCAGACCAGACCAGACCAAACCAAACAGACCAGACCAGACCAAACAGACCAGACCAGACCAGACCAGACCAGACCAAACAGACCAGACCAAACAGACCAGACCAGACCAAACCGACCAGACCAGACCAAACCAGACCAGACCAGACCGAACCGACCAGACCAGACCAGACCAGACCAGACCAAACAGACCAGACCAGACCAGACCAAACAGACCAGACCAGACCAGACCCAAACCAGACCAAAACCAGACCAGACCAAACCAAAACCAAACCAGACCAGACCAGACCAGACCAGACCAAACAGACCAGACCAAACAGACCAGACCAGACCAAACAGACCAGACCAGACCAAACCAGACCAGACCCAAACCAGACCAAAACCAGACCAGACCAGACCCAAACCAGACCAAAACCAGACCAGACCAAACAGACCAGACCAGACCAAACCAGACCAGACCAAACAGACCAGACCAGACCAAACCAGACCAGACCAAACAGACCAGACCAGACCAAACCAGACCAGACCCAAACCAGACCAGACCCAAACCAGACCAAAACCAGACCAGACCAGACCCAAACCAGACCAAAACCAGACCAGACCAGACCAAACAGACCAGACCAGACCAGACCAAACCAGACCAGACAGACCAGACCAGACCAGACCAGACCAAACAGACCAGACCAGACCAGACCCAAACCAGACCAAAACCAGACCAGACCAAACCAAAACCAAACCAGACCAGACCAGAUCAGACCAAACUAAACCAGACCAGACCAAACCAAAACCAAACCAAACCAGACCAAAACCAGACCAGACCAGACCAAACCAGACCAAACCAAAACCUAACCAAACCAAACCAAACCAGACCAAAUCAAAUCAGACCAGACCAAAACCAGACCAGAUCAGAUCAGACCAAACCAAAACCAACCAAACUAGACCAGAUUAGACCAGACCAAAACCAGACCAGACCAGACUAGACCAGACUAAAACCAAACCAAACCAGACCAAAUCAAAUCAGACCAGACCAAAACCAGACCAGAUCAGAUCAGACCAAACCACACCAAACCAGACCAAACCAAAACCAACCAAACUAGACCAGAUUAGACCAUACCAAAACCAGACCAGACCAGACUAAAACCAAACCAAACCAGACCAAACAGACCAGAUCAGACCAAACCAAAACCAAACCAAACCAGACCAGACCAAAACCAGACCAGACCAAAUCAGACCAAACCAAAACCAAACCAAAUCAGACCAAAGCCAGACCAGACCAGACCAAACCAGACCAAACCAAAACCAAACCAGACCAGACCAGGCCAGACCAAAACUAGACCAGACCAGACCAGACCAAAACUAGACCAGACCAGACCUGAACAAAACAGACCAGGCCAGACCAGCAAACCCUGCCCGGGUGUGAGAAACACACAGAAAAGACACGGAAAAAUAUGUUCCAAAGCAAACCCAGGAAUGAGCUGAAGGUGGCCUGAGUGCAGGCUGUUCCUUUCCCCUAAAUGCUUGGCUGUAAAUACACUGCUACUCCUUUUACCUUUGCACUGAAGAAGGAAGGAAUGGAAACAGCAGGGAUCGUGGGGCAGACAGGGCUGUGUGAAU